AACUUGCCUUGGACUAACUCUGGGUGCCGCCGGGAAGACGUCUGCCUUUGCGCUCCAUUUUAGGCGGCGGCGGGCAGGGGAGCCCGGGCGGAGAUUUGCAGGAGGGCUGCUCUUCCCUGUGUCAGCAGCCCCGGGAGAGGGAGGGGUUCUCCUUGCUCAGCCCUGGCUCCUCACAGCAGCCUCUUUUGGACCCAGAGUGGCCGAGGAAGGAGGCGAGCCCAGCGCACUCCAGCCUGUGCCGCGCAUUUCUGGGUCAGACAUCCUCGCGGGGAAAUGGCUUUAUUUAGACAGAGUAGGUGGUGAUGAGAUAUGGUGUGCUGGGCCAGCAGGAUUACAAUGCAUGCGGCUUGGGCCUUUGAACAGGCAGGAGAAUCCAAACUCCAGGCCUCGUCUGACAGCACAUCCCUGUGCCAAAAAGGCCAAAGGAGUUGUAAUUGCUGUCAGAAUUGAGCUUUCAGCAGGCCCCUGAGAGGAGAGACAGUGAAGAAAAAAACAAUCCUUCUUUUUCUUGGCCCCCAAAAUGCCUGUAAACUUUGACCUGCUGACAGAGAAAGGUAGUGGUGGAAAGGGCGUGCUGUGGAGUCAUGACCUCUGCUAAUGGACCUCCUGCUUGUGAAGCUGUUCAGUACUGCCACCUGCUCUCCCCAGAGAAAUGUCACAGAGAUAUGAUUGCCCCAGCUCUUUGGAGAGAGAUUGGUGAAGGCCUGGACAAAAACACCCCAGAACUGCAAAUACUGAUGUAAUAUCAGCACUCAACAGCCUUUGAUACUGCACACAGAAGCAUGAUGUUACUGAUCAAUCAUGAUAUCAUGAUGAGUCGUGGUAUCAGUACCUCACUUCCUCCAUGUUACUCUCCAUUCCAAUGGCUAAUGUGAGGCAAAAAGCCACUGAAUGCAGGGUUCAUUUGAUGCAUCAAGAGGCCACCUAGAACAGAGGUUGGACAGUAUUAAAGGAAUAAAGUAGGUAUUUAUUAAAAAGAUCUUUAGAGGAUACACCUUGGGCAGUACAAGAGCCUGGCAGUGGCUCCACCCAAGCUGGAGGAUGGAUCACAUCUUUUCACACUUUUAUAAGUCUUGGUUCAUUUACAUAUUGGGGUUAAUUGUCCAAUUACAGCUUCAGGUUAUGAAGUCCCAUCCUCCCAGAUUGCUCUCAUCAAUUUGCUGUUAUUUAUACCUUUUGGGCCUGAAGCUGCAAUGGUGUCCUUGGUUGUCAGGCUGGAAAAGAAUUGUUUUGUCUAAUUACCCUGUGAAGAGAACUUGCUAACACUUUCUAUGAAGUUCAGAGUUAUAUACUAAUGCAGUACAGACUCUGGAAAAUAUGAAAGUUAAAACUUAAGGCAUCACACUCAAGUGGAUUUUUUGGCUCACCUGCAAGGUCUCAGAGGAAUCAAUUGAGGGCCUAGAGGUCAGUGCCUUCACAGGGCUGAAGCAACCCUUCCAUCUCAGUGAACAGUCUUCUCCUAACUCUUAGCCUGCCUAAAUUUAUGUUCUGGGCUUGAAAUAAUGUCAUUGUGCAUGAGAGCUUUCAGGCAGUCUGAACGAUGAAAUCAGCCCCCUGUUGAUAGAUGUGUGGUGAAGGAACUCCUUGAUAUUUGCUCGUUCCUUCUGUGUCUCAAAGCAGACAGUUCAUAAUGCCCAGAGUUAAAUGUAACUAGAUAACUGAAUGGCUUACACUGCUCUUCCAAUCCCAUUGCUAAGAAACAUCUAGAAGCCCAUCAAAGGAGGUGGCUGCCUGUCUAAGCAUGGGAAGAGAGUUUCAGAUUAGUAAAAUCAGAACCUAGAAAGCCAAACUGGAAAAACUGUUACAGAAGAAGAACCAUUCCAGAAACCUUCCAAGUCUGGACUUGUGUCCCCUUCCUAAAGAGCUGUGGCACCUCCACUGGCAAUCCCAAAUGUACACCAUGGCUAUCUUCACAUAAGGAAGAUGUUACUUCUUAUUAAGGAGCUUACUUAGCUAAGUAAGCCCCUCAGGUACUGAGAUCUGCAUCAGUAAAAACCAGAAUAGUGAUCCUAGCUGAAGACUGGCUGCUUAGACCCUAGCUGAAGACUGACAGCUCAAUGAACACAUGGUUUAAGACCCCUGCUACUCUGCACUGAUUUGAACUUUCUUUGUAAAUUCAAAUACCAUGUAUUCCAAAAGUGUCAAAUACAUGAACAAUUGUGCCAUGUCAGGAAGGAAAAGUUGUAUGCACUGUAUUUGCCAGAUACAAAUGAAACCAUUAUUCUUGAUCACAGACACUACCUUGUGAGUUAGGUUUAGCCUAGAAUUUAGCAGGGUGUUAAGGCAGCCCUAGAUCUGCAGCUGAAAAAAGUUUUACCAGUUCUUCUCCCUCAUCUGAGCAUUUGGUUUUAUGUAAUUAAAUAUGCCAACAGAAAAAAAAAUAGUCUUUUGUCAGAUUGACAGCUAAGCUGACUUGAGACCUUAACCUCAAGUGUGUUCAAAGCUGAAAAUCCAAUCUGGCUGACAUUUUGUCCUUUAACACAUGUUGUUGUAAUCCCAAAUUAAAGGCUGCCCUUAUACUGUACCAAACUAAAUCACACAUAUUUCAGAAACUUUGGCAUGUAAAGGAAGCACAGUGCUACAUAAAGAUGGUGUCAGACCAAAUUUUCAGCCUUCUUUGUUGGUGUUUUGGAUUUUUCUCAGACCUUCAAGGUUAUAUACAUUUCAUGGUUUAAUUUCUGUUAUUCCCUAAGGCACUGGUGCAUAUUUACCCACUAACAAAAAUAAUUUCUUUGAAACAUAGUAAUUUAUAAUAGGCAUAUUAUGAUCCUUUCAGUUUUACUGUGAUCUAAUCACCAGGCACGUAUUUAGGAAAUAUAAAAUCCUUUCAAGACUUUUACCUUGAGACAUACUAAGAAUGCACAAUGCACAAACACACAUUCAUAACAGUUCCCAGUUUGGUAAGAUGAUCCAUUCUCCAAAGCCAUAUACAUAUUAAAAAAAAAGUUAACUGAACAUUAACUACCUUUCAAACCUUAAUUGCACAACUUGCUUAAAACAGAAGAUUUUGCAAAAAUUUUUUUUGUAAAUUAAAGGCAUGUUUAAAUUGCAGACGUAGAGAGAAAUGGAAAAAGUCACUUUUGGUUGGAUUGUCACUUUAGUAUGAUUUUAUCUUUAUGGAUUAGUGUCAGAAUCUAAAUACAACUCAAAUAAUGGUGUUUUCUAUCCACUGAUGGCCGAACUUCAAGAGUUUUACCUCGAAUUAAGAAGAAUGCCCUACCACCAUAUCCUGUAUCAAAACCCCUUUUUAGUGGUUUGGUUGUUUUUCCUGCAAGUGCGGUGAACUCUCAAGCAGCUCCCAACCCCUGUGCAGUGGAGCUGCAUCAGAGAACAAAGUCCUGGCACACCACACCAUUUUUGCUGGCAGGAGACUUUCUCUAGUAGUGUUACUCCAGCCUGAAUGUUCCCUGUUCCUGCUAAGGGAUUAACAAUGAUAAAUAACUAACUAGAGUAGGGCAAGGAGGUGACAAGAGUUGGAAAAUUUGGUAAAAUGAUAAUAUAUCAGUUUGAUAUGAUGGAUGGCUUUAUUCAGUUAUUUCACGUCAUGGGAUACAAACUUGAUUCUUCAGUGGAUGAACUUGAGCUGUGACUAGCGUGAGGCAGAGAAACUUUGUGACUGCAAUGAGUAUACUUAUGAGUAUGCUAAUAAAAUAUGUGCUCCCAACAUUUCCUUAGUAAAAGAACCUCUUUCACCAACAUCUCAUAAUUAACCAAUACU